rnacentral:rRNA from 1 species
AGGUGGCAUCAUACCAACGUUAAUGCACUGGAUCCCAUCAGAACUUCGCAGUUAAGUGUGCUUGGGCUAGAGUAGUCCUAGGAUGGGUGACCUCCUGGGAAUUCCUAGUGUUACACCCU